GUUCCCACUGGCAGGAAAAGUACCACACUCGAUGCACCAACAUUUGGAAAACAGAGAAUGUGCUGAGUCUCAAUGUCCUCGGAGUCUCCAUAAAUCACUCAUAGAAAAGAGUGGGGAUUUAGUUGGGCAGCACAUUGUAUGCCCAAAGCGGAGCUGGAGGAGGACCUCCAGAGUCGCUAUAGAGGGAUUUCAUCACAAGGAAGGGAGGCUGAGCAAACAGCGAGGAUGUCAACAACAUCCUGUCCUUGCAGAGAGGAGAACGGCUUUUGAAGGAAUGACAGAGCUUUGGAUCUCAGCUCCCCGAGGCAAGUUCAGUUGGGGAUUUUUGAAGACCAGACAACGUUCAAGCUGGCAGGGCAACAAGGACUUGAAAAUUAUAUGGGAUGUGGCUUGGGCAGAAUUUAGCCUGAUGACAUUGUGGCUGCAUUGCAACAGCGGCCUCCAAAUCACCUACAGGCCAGAAUGCCUGCUGCAUGCACAGUUCCAGAGAACUGUGCCAUGGUCAACCCGGGGACAUGUGGGGUGGGGGCAGGUACAGCUGCAAUGGGACUGAGGGGAGACGGUCCCAUGGGCUGGAGUUCCUACACUGCAUGCAACUGCACGAGUGUACCCUCAGGGGACGAUGCACUGCCACGGUGGGCUCACAGAGAGCACCCCAGUGCUUCACGUUGACCGAGGGCUUCCUGCAUUUUCCCCAAAGAAAGGAUGGAAAGAUGCCCUCCCUGCGAGGAAGUCCCCAGAACGCUCCUACAGGUUCUCUCUGUAUUUCCCUCAGAGAAGCAAAAAUCAAGCUGAGAUUCUCAUCCAUACUGAGGGGUAAUGAGAUUCCCCAUGGGAGGGAGGAAUAAGGAGAACCUCAGCCAUUACACAGGUCAUCGCACCGGGAUUGGAAAGCACUCCAACUAUUUGGACGCCCCGCCUCGCAGCCAACUCAUUGAGCUCAGUAGCAUGGCAACAUGACGGAGCGGAGCGGUGCCUCUUGAGGCUAAUACCAUGUGGAGAGAUUAAGUGCAAAC
ensembl:lncRNA